UACGUAGGGGGCUAGCGUUGUCCGGAAUCAUUGGGCGUAAAGCGCGCGUAGGCGGCCAGAUAAGUCCGGUGUGAAAGUCACAGGCUCAACCUGUGAAUGCCGCUGGAAACUGUCUGGCUUGAGUCCGGAAGGGGCGAGUGGAAUUCCCUGGUGUAGCGGUGAAAUGCGUAGAUAUGCGGAGGAACACCGAUGGCGAAGGCAGUCCCCUGGGCCUGUACUGACGCUCAUGGCACGAAAGCGUGGGGAGCAAACAGG
rnacentral:rRNA from 1 species